rnacentral:rRNA from 1 species
CCUACGGGCGGCAGCAGUGGGGAAUAUUGCACAAUGGGGGAAACCCUGAUGCAGCGACGCCGCGUGAGUGAAGAAGUAUUUCGGUACGUAAAGCUCUAUCAGCAGGGAAGAAAAUGACGGUACCUGACUAAGAAGCCCCGGCUAACUACGUGCCAGCAGCCGCGGUAAUACGUAGGGGGCAAGCGUUAUCCGGAAUUACUGGGGGUAAAGGGAGCGUAGACGGUUAAGUAAGUCUGGAGUGAAAGGCCGGGGCCCAACCCCGGGACUGCUCUGGAAACUAUUGAGCUGGAGUGCAGGAGAGGUAAGCGGAAUUCCUAGUGUAGCGGUGAAAGGCGUAGAUAUUAGGAGGAACACCAGUGGCGAAGGCGGCUUACUGGACUGUAACUGACGUUGAGGCUCGAAAGCGUGGGGAGCAAAUAGGAUUAGAUACCCGGGUAGUC